rnacentral:lncRNA from 1 species
CGGGAGCCCCGCCCACCUGCCAGCCCUGGCUGGGUCCAGUUGCGCGAGUUAACCGGGCUUGGGAGGUGGCGGGGUCUGUGACCUGUGACCCCCUCUCCAGCUGCUUCUCCACGGACACGCUCUGGUUCUUGGGCCCACGCUGCGAGGUGGCCGUCCAGUGGAGGGCGCUGGUCGGGGGCCUGGCCGGGGCCGGGGCGCUGCUGCUGCUGCUGCUCCUGGCGCUGACAUUCUUCGUCAGGCGCUGGAGGAGGAGCGGCCGAGGCGGAGCCCGGUCCUGGGACUACGACAAGAAAUGGUUUGAGAUUUGGGAUGAGGACACCGCAGGGACUUUUUCCAACUCGGGCUUCCAGGAUGACCAACCUUUCAAGGAUGAAAAUUUCCAGGUGGCCUUGGAGAUGGUGGACACCAAUGUGAGGGUGAGAGGGCAAAGGGGGGAUGGUGCACACCCAGAGACCUGAGGUGGACUUGUCCUCGAUGUGAGCCCUGCCCUACCCUGUCCACCUGCCCUGGACAGCGGGAAGGAAGCAUCUGCUCUGCAUCCAUUUCAAGAGAUGGCCAAGGACUCGUGCAGCUCAGCCUCCUGGAAUCCUGGGCAAAAUCAGACUGUCCCCAGACCGGCACCCUCUCAACUUGGAUGAAACCCACCUGCAAACCCAGGUCAAAUCCAGGAUCUUCCACUGUGGGACCUUGGGCAGCUCAGUAGCUUCUCUGAACUUGUGAAAUGCCUAUAGCAUACUUGUCCUGAUACCUUGAACAGUCAUUGUGCAAACCAGAUGUGGUCACUCAGACCUCUGUCCCAAUGCACCUUCCUGUGUCAGCCCUCAUCUUAUGUGGCCUCUCUCAGAUCCCCAGUCCCCACAUCCUUUGCCCAUCUCAGGCCUCAGUCUCUAGUUCCCUGUGCGCAUCCCUACCACCUGCCCCCCAACACCUGUCACCAGCCUUCAACCCAUCCCUGCCUCCUACCCUCUGCUAAAGUGACUCUCUACGGCGCCCCUUCCCCCAUUCCUUAUAUCUUCUCCCCCUCUAAACCCACUUCUUAAUCACGCCCCUCCCCUAUCCAGCUCCCAGCCCUACAUCUCUCCCCAUUUAUGUUUUCUGCCCUUACCCAUCCUUGUUCCUUCCACCCUAAAUCCUUAACCCCCAUCCCAGCAUCCCAGUCCUAAGUCCUUCCCUGCCCCACCCCUGUCCCUGUGCGCACUGCCACUUAGGACCCCUAGCUGGUACUCCCCAGGCCCUAGUUCCCCCUUCUGAGGCUCCAUCCCUUCCUCUCCCACAAGGGCCCUGGAUGCCCGUGGGUGGGGGUGGGAUGUGGGGUGUGGGUUUCCAGGUCCUCCAGGAUGAGGGGAAGUGGGACCCUGAGGUGAGGAAGCUCCCUCAGCCCCCUUCUCCUUUCCUAACUCCAUCCCCUCCCUUACUGCCUCACCUCUCUUUCCCACCCCCUUGCCAGCUCCUCCUCUCCCUUCCUCUCCUGGGUCUCACCCCAUCCCUGCAGUAGCCUCUCAGCCCAGAAGCCCACAGCCUCCUUCGCAGGAAGGUCUCAUUUGGGGACAGGAAUUCUGCAAUCCUCCAAUUCUCCCAUGUGAACACAAUAUAGCAUUUAUUGUAAACAA